UGGGGAAUCUUGGACAAUGGGGGCAACCCUGAUCCAGCGACGCCGCGUGGAUGAAGAAGGCCUUAGGGUUGUAAAGUCCUUUCACCGGGGAGGAUGAUGACGUUACCCGGAGAAGAAGCACCGGCUAACUCCGUGCCAGCAGCCGCGGUAAGACGGAGGGUGCUAGCGUUGUUCGGAAUCACUGGGCGUAAAGGGCGCGUAGGCGGCCUAGAUAGUCAGAUGUGAAAGCCCGGGGCCCAACCCCGGAACUGCAUUUGAUACUCCUAGGCUAGAGUUCGAAAGAGGAGAGUGGAAUACCCAGUGUAGAGGUGAAAUUCGUAGAUAUUGGGUGGAACACCAGUGGCGAAAGCGGCUCUCUGGUUCGAUACUGACGCUGAGGCGCGAAAGCGUGGGGAGCAAACAGGAUUAGAUACCCCCGUAGUCC
rnacentral:rRNA from 1 species